AUACGGAGGGAGCGAGCGUUAAUCGGAAUUACUGGGCGUAAAGCGCGCGUAGGCGGCUUUGUAAGUCGGAUGUGAAAGCCCCGGGCUUAACCUGGGAAUUGCAUUCGAAACUGCAGGGCUAGAGUAUGGUAGAGGGAAGUGGAAUUUCCGGUGUAGCGGUGAAAUGCGUAGAUAUCGGAAGGAACACCAGUGGCGAAGGCGACUUCCUGGGCCAAUACUGACGCUGAGGUGCGAAAGCGUGGGGAGCAAACAGGAUUAGAUACCCCAGUAGUCC
rnacentral:rRNA from 1 species